AACGAACGCUGGCGGCAGGCCUAACACAUGCAAGUCGAGCGAAGCCUUCGGGCUUAGCGGCGGACGGGUGAGUAACGCGUGGGAACGUGCCCUUUGGUACGGAAUAGCCCCGGGAAACUGGGAGUAAUACCGUAUGUGGUCGAGAGACGAAAGAUUUAUCGCCAAAGGAUGGGCUCGCGGUGGAGUAGGUAGUUGGUGGGGUAAUGGCCUACCAAGCCGACGAUCCAUAGCUGGUUUGAGAGGAUGAUCAGCCACACUGGGACUGAGACACGGCCCAGACUCGUACGGGGGGCAGCAGUGGAGGAUAUUAGACAAUGGGGGAAACCCUGAUCUAGCCAUGCCGCGUGAUCGAUGAAGGCCUUAGGGUUGUAAAGAUCUUUCAGUGGGGAAGAUAAUGACUGUACCCACAGAAGAAGCGCCGGCUAACUCCGUGCCAGCCGCCGCCGUAACAC
rnacentral:rRNA from 1 species